ensembl:snRNA U6 U6 spliceosomal RNA
GUGCUCCCCCCUUCUGCAGCACAUAUACUAAAAUUGGAACAGAGAGGAUUAGCAUGGCCCCUGCGCAAGGAUGACAUGCAAAUUUGUGAAGCGUUCCAUAAAAAA